UGGAUUAGGCAUGCAAGUCGAGGGAGAACCCGCAAGGGGGACACCGGCGAACGGGGUAGGACAAUCUCGGUAACGUACCCUUCGGACGGGGAUAGCCACGGGAAACUGUGGGUAAUACCCGAUGAUCUGGCGAGCGUUUAGGGCUCGUCAGCAAAGGUGAGAUUCCACCGGAGGAGCGGCUGAGACGCUAUUAGCUUGUUGGUGAGGUAACGGCUCACCAAGGCGACGAUGGCUAGGGGGUGUGAGAGCACGGCCCCCACCACUGGCACUGAGACACUGGCCAGACACCUACGGGUGGCUGCAGUCGAGAACCUUCGGCAAUGGGCGCAAGCCUGACCGAGCGACGCCGCGUGCGGGAUGAAGGUCUUCGGAUUGUAAACCGCUGUCGGAGGGGAUGAAGUGUAUGGGAGCUAUCUCCUGUAUUUGACAGAGCCUCGGAGGAAGCACGGGCUAAGUUCGUGCCAGCAGCCGCGGUA
rnacentral:rRNA from 1 species